AUGGUUAAUUAGAUGAUCGAUCUAUUACCUUAUUGGUAAUGGGUAGGAAAGUCCGGACACUCGCUCUAAGUAAUUAGAACAAUUGUAACGGCUAACAGCCGUCUGCCGUAAGGCACGAGGUGCGAACAGUGACGUCCAUCGUCGAAAGACUAUGGAGAUCCUUCGCAAGAAGGAUUAUGCCAAUUGCAAAAUUGGAGUGAAACGGCUAAAUCCUUACUGGGUGCAAGGUCGUAUCCCUGCUCUUUUAUUAGAAAAGGGAGGUGCCGCUUGACCCCGAGAGUAAUCAAGGGGCUAGAUAAAUGAUCAUCAUUCCCGAUUUAUCAGGAAACAGAAUCCGGCUUACUAUUAACCAUAUAC
rnacentral:RNase_P_RNA from 3 species